GUGCCUCCACUAUUCCAGCACCAUUUCAACUUCAACAUCAUCAAAUCACCUCGGCUUAGUUUAAUACAGCAACAACUAAAAGAUACCAAAAACAAUGUAUUCCAAUCAACUAAAUAUGAUGUGGCUGUCCAUGGUUCUGAUUUCUGUGUGUGUGUGUGUGUGUGUAUUCGUGAAAGUAUAAAAACCAUGUUGACUCACCCUUCUUGUAGAGAAAGCCAAUGCCUUCCUCCUCUCAUGUUUACAAAACAUUCUACACUCUGAAAAUUAGGGAUUCAACUUCUUAGAAGAACCUUGGGGUUCUUGGACCUGAAAAUUGCACCCAGAAGGUUCUUCCAAGAACCCCAUAGGAGGUGGGGUUCAUCAAGGAACCUCCUUAGUUGGUGUGGGUUCUUGUAGGAACCUAACGACCCAACUGAAACAUUUGUAUUUUAUUUUGAAUGGAGAGCAGUUGCAGGCACUUAUCUGAAACAUUUAAAGAUCUCCUCAAUUCAAGAUAAGAUGUGUCCCUUGUAUGAACUAAAUUGAUAUUGAUUUAUGAUGCCAGCUAUCUUUUCAUAUUUUUGCAAGUCUUUCUGAAAUAGAAAAUGGACACAAUUCAAUGGAUAUCAAUCAACAAAGAGGUAUACAGACACGGAGGCAUAUAAAGACUUCACCCUCCCUACACCUCUGAUGAAUAUAACAGGAAACCUGUUCAAUCACCAUGUACUGCAAACUCAUUCUGGCUGUGGAUACGGAGAACAUCAACACAUUAACAUCAACAGGCCAGAGGAUAUACCCAUUGGACCUGGGGCUCUGCUGGGACUUUACCUCAUAUUUGGAUUUUUUUACUCUAAUUUGCCACUAAAAUCGUAAUAAACUGACAA